GGGCCAUUAACUCAGGUGGUUAGAGCGCACCCCUGAUAAGGGUGAGGUCCCUGGUUCAAGUCCAGGAUGGCCCA
rnacentral:tRNA from 2 species